rnacentral:rRNA from 1 species
GUAAGCGCAAGUCAUCAGCUUGCGUUGACUACGUCCCUGCCCUUUGUACACACCGCCCGUCGCUACUACCGAUUGAAUGGCUCAGUGAGGCGUCCGGACUGGCCCAGGGAGGUGGGCAACCACCACCCAGGGCCGGAAAGCUCUCCAAACUCGGUCAUUUAGAGGAAGUAAAAGUCGUAACAAGGUCUCCGUUGGUGAACCAGCGGAGGGAUCAUUA